AAACUCAAAUGAAUUGACGGGGACCCGCACAAGCGGUGGAGCAUGUGGUUUAAUUCGAAGCAACGCGAAGAACCUUACCAAGUCUUGACAUCGGAAUGAUCGUUCCUAACAGGAGCUUCCCUACGGGGCAUUCCAGACAGGUGGUGCAUGGUUGUCGUCAGCUCGUGUCGUGAGAUGUUGGGUUAAGUCCCGCAACGAGCGCAACCCUUAUCCUUAGUAGCCAGCAGUUCGGCUGGGCACUCUGGGGAGACUGCCAGGGAUAACCUGGAGGAAGGUGGGGAUGACGUCAAAUCAUCAUGCCCCUUAUGAUUUGGGCUACACACGUGCUACAAUGGCGUAAACAAAGGGAAGCGAAGGAGUGAUCCGGAGCAAAUCUCAAAAAUAACGUCUCAGUUCGGAUUGUAGUCUGCAACUCGACUACAUGAAGCUGGAAUCGCUAGUAAUCGCGGAUCAGAAUGCCGCGGUGAAUACGUUCCCGGGUCUUGUACACACCGCCCGUCACACCAUGGGAGUUGGUAACGCCCGAAGUCAGUGACCCAACCGUAAGGAGGGAGCUGCCGAAGGCGGGACUGAUAACUGGGGUGAAGUCGUAACAAGGUAGCCGUAUCGGAAGGUGCGGCUGGAUCACCUCCUUUCUG
rnacentral:rRNA from 1 species